UACGAAGGGGGCUAGCGUUGUUCGGAAUUACUGGGCGUAAAGCGUGCGCAGGCGGCUUCUCAAGUCAGGGGUGAAAGCCCAGAGCUCAACUCUGGAAUUGCCUUUGAGACUGAGUGGCUUGAGUACGAGAGAGGUGAGUGGAAUUCCUGGUGUAGCGGUGAAAUGCGUAGAUAUCAGGAGGAACACCGGUGGUGUAGACGGCUCUCUGGACCGUAACUGACGCUGAGACGCGAAAGCGUGGGGAGCAAACAGG
rnacentral:rRNA from 1 species